UACGGGGGGGGCAAGCGUUGUUCGGAAUUACUGGGCGUAAAGAGCUCGUAGGUGGUUUGUCGCGUUGUUCGUGAAAACCGGGGGCUUAACCCUCGGCGUGCGGGCGAUACGGGCAGACUUGAGUACUGCAGGGGAGACUGGAAUUCCUGGUGUAGCGGUGGAAUGCGCAGAUAUCAGGAGGAACACCGGUGGCGAAGGCGGGAUCCUGGGCCAGUACUGACGCUGAGGAGCGAAAGCGUGGGGAGCAAACAGG
rnacentral:rRNA from 1 species